rnacentral:lncRNA from 1 species
GAGUAAGCUGCCUCCACUCUGAGGGCCUCUCAGCGAGCACGGAACUCACCAAGUUCAUUAUGCUAGCUGCCUGGUGAGCCCCGGAGAUCCACCUUCCCAGCACAAGAUCACGAACAUGUACCACCACAAUCUGUCUCCCCCCACAAAUUCUGGGGAUUAGACUCAGGUCCUCAGGUUUGUGCAGCAAGCACAUUUACCAACAGAGCCUCCUCUGCAACCCAUGUGCCGUGGAUGACUUGUUGACCAUGAUACUUCACAAAACUGCAAGAGUUCCUACCACAAGGCUGGCAUGAAUGUCGGGACCACUAGGCCUGCAGAAAGGCUUCAUGGCUAUGCAUCACAUCGGACUUUCUCAGCACAGCCAGCGUCUAUUCCUGCCGUGUCAUUUAUGGGUCUGGAGAGAGCCGUAAAACCACGGAGCAGCAGCAGAUGAAUCCGGGCUAUUAGAGAAAACAAGGUGGAUUUGAGGGAUUUUUAUCCUCCUUAUCCAAAGGCUUUCUCUAAACCUAAACGCCCUAACUACCUUGAGCACUUGGAAAGAUCAUCUGUCUUCCUCCUGUGACUUUUUACUUACAAAGAAAACACGGCUCCAUGCCUUGAGCCCUUUGGGCCUUCU